GUCAGAAAGAGCUCAGUGAGUUCAUCUUCAGCAUCAACCAUGUUCUCUGCAGCUCUGAUGCUGCUGCUGACAGCUGGAUCCUGUGUGGACAGUAUUGAUCUCAUCCAGCCAGACUCAAAGGUUGUUCAGCCUGGACAGUCUUUGACCAUCAGCUGUCGGGUUUCUGGAUAUUCACUGACUGCUGGCAGCUAUGCAACAGGCUGGAUCAGACAGCGAGAAGGAAAACCAAUGGACUGGAUUUUCCAUCAGUGGGGAAGUAGUAGUGGGAACUUCUAUCAAAAUGAAGCUCUGAAAAACAAGUUCAACUACAACAUAGACACUUCUGCAGGAACAGUGACAAUAACAGGACAGAAUCUGCAGCCUGAAGACACAGCUGUGUAUUACUGUGUGAGACGCCCCACAGUGACACAAACAAACACAAACCUGUACAAAAACUCAACAGCUAUGAAGACCAAACAACAUGUGUGUAAUAAAUAAUACAAUAUACAUUUGUUUUUGUGUUUAAAAAAAUAAAUUUUAAAAA